rnacentral:lncRNA from 1 species
CUCUAGGGAUGAGCAGUAGAGGGUGACUAGAGGCUCCAUGUGGAGCUCACAAUAUCAGAGUUGAAAAACACAUGCAGAGGACACUAGUUGUAGUGGACACAGGUGCAGAGUGCACCUUAGUUCUUGGAAGCCCAGAGAGACACGCUGGUAAGUGGACAGCUCUAGAUGGUUACUGGGGACAAACAAUCCAAGUGGAACAAACUCCUCCCCUUCUUGGUAUUGGAUGGUGGAGUUUCCCUGCUUACUAUACUGUCUUUAUCUCACCUAUUCCAGAAAACAUGUUGGAUAUGGACAUCCUUUAAGGAUGCACUUUGCAAACGUCCAUGGGGGAAUUCCACCAAUGAGUUUGGGUGGUAAACACUAUUUAAAGAGUGGCAGUGAAAUAGGCACCUGUACUUUUUCCUCCCCCAUGAUGUAUCAUCAGUGUGAAGUAACAAAUUAUUUUCUUGGCAGAAUAAAAGAAAUGACAGCCACCAUAGAGGAACUAGCCAAAGUUAAUAUUAGUCGGCCAGCCCAGAGUCCCUUCAGGAGUUCUGUGUGACUGGGAAAGGAAAUCUGACAGCACCGGGCACGUGACAGUAGACUACAGGGAAUUCAAUAAGAGUUUGACUCUUCGUCAACAAUAAUCUGGCGCCCAAACGUGGGGCCUCAGAGAAGACUCAGGACCCCUAAGGAGUUGCCUGAAACCGGAGCUAAGGUACCAGCAGGGGCCCAUUGAAGUCCCACUGAGUUCAAGCUUCUCCUCCGGUGGAACUGGUAAGUCCUCCUGAGCCCCAGACCUCUCCUUGACCAGACUUUUCUUAGGCUUCCCUGAGCCCUCUUCUUGAGUAGGCCUGGACCUUGGAUUUCUGUGUCCAUCCUUGCUGCACCCAGUUUUAGCAAGAAUCCUGUUAAGUAGGUUUAGUGAGAAUUCCCUUAUCCUUGAUCAGGUUCCUCAUCUUCCACCCUUAAUGUCUAAGUCCUUGGCCUGCCUUUAGCAGGAUUCUACCCUUAAUACCUAAUCAAGUUCCUGUUUGUGAUUUCCCACCCAUUGACCCCCU